UGCAGUCGAACGAUGAACCAGGAGCUUGCUCUUGGGGAUUAGUGGCGAACGGGUGAGUAACACGUGAGUAACCUGCCCUUGACUCUGGGAUAAGCGUUGGAAACGACGUCUAAUACCGGAUACGAGCUUCCACCGCAUGGUGAGUUGCUGGAAAGAAUUUUGGUCAAGGAUGGACUCGCGGCCUAUCAGCUUGUUGGUGAGGUAACGGCUCACCAAGGCGACGACGGGUAGCCGGCCUGAGAGGGUGACCGGCCACACUGGGACUGAGACACGGCCCAGACUCCUACGGGAGGCAGCAGUGGGGAAUAUUGCACAAUGGGCGAAAGCCUGAUGCAGCAACGCCGCGUGAGGGACGACGGCCUUCGGGUUGUAAACCUCUUUUAGCAGGGAAGAAGCGAAAGUGACGGUACCUGCAGAAAAAGCACCGGCUAACUACGUGCCAGCAGCCGCGGUAAUACGUAGGGUGCAAGCGUUGUCCGGAAUUAUUGGGCGUAAAGAGCUCGUAGGCGGUUUGUCGCGUCUGCUGUGAAAUCCCGAGGCUCAACCUCGGGUCUGCAGUGGGUACGGGCAGACUAGAGUGCGGUAGGGGAGAUUGGAAUUCCUGGUGUAGCGGUGGAAUGCGCAGAUAUCAGGAGGAACACCGAUGGCGAAGGCAGAUCUCUGGGCCGCUACUGACGCUGAGGAGCGAAAGGGUGGGGAGCAAACAGGCUUAGAUACCCUGGUAGUCCACCCCGUAAACGUUGGGCGCUAGAUGUGGGGACCAUUCCACGGUUUCCGUGUCGUAGCUAACGCAUUAAGCG
rnacentral:rRNA from 1 species